UACGUAGGGUGCGAGCGUUGUCCGGAAUCACUGGGCGUAAAGGGUGCGUAGGCGGGUCUUUAAGUCAGGGGUGAAAUCCUGGAGCUCAACUCCAGAACUGCCUUUGAUACUGAGGAUCUUGAGUCCGGGAGAGGUGAGUGGAACUGCGAGUGUAGAGGUGAAAUUCGUAGAUAUUCGCAAGAACACCAGUGGCGAAGGCGGCUCACUGGCCCGGUACUGACGCUGAGGCACGAAAGCGUGGGGAGCAAACAGG
rnacentral:rRNA from 1 species